UUCAAGGUCCUGUGAAUGUAGAAAUUUUCUUGAUCCUCUACAGAGAAAGCCGUUCUCCAGUGGGGUGUCAACAUUGGGAUGGACUUUGAAGGAAUUAGAAAAGCUAGUUCUAUCCUCCAAGCAUUUACAUUCAACUCGGAGAAGAAACGCGGAGGUGUUGCAUUGAAGCUGCCAGAAGUUUGCGUUGUGUUGCGAUUGCAUACAGACCUGAAAAUUUCGAAAACAUCCCACAUGUUGAGGAGAAAGUGUCUACUGCGUUGUGUUGCUAGCCACUGUUGGCCUG